AGGACGAACGCUGGCGGCGUGCUUAACACAUGCAAGUCGAGCGGAAAGGCCCUUCGGGGUACUCGAGCGGCGAACGGGUGAGUAACACGUGAGUAAUCUGCCCCUAGCUCUGGGAUAGCUCCGGGAAACCGGGAUUAAUACCGGAUACGACCACUUUAGACAUCUGUUGUGGUGGAAAGAAUUUUGGCUAGGGAUGAGCUCGCGGCCUAUCAGCUUGGUUGGUGGGUAACGCCUACCAAGGCGACGACGGGUA
rnacentral:rRNA from 1 species